AGCGAACGCUGGCGGCAGGCUUAACACAUGCAAGUCGAGCGGGCGUAGCAAUACGUCAGCGGCAGACGGGUGAGUAACGCGUGGGAACGUACCUUUUGGUUCGGAACAACACAGGGAAACUUGUGCUAAUACCGGAUAAGCCCUUACGGGGAAAGAUUUAUCGCCGAAAGAUCGGCCCGCGUCUGAUUAGCUAGUUGGUGAGGUAACGGCUCACCAAGGCGACGAUCAGUAGCUGGUCNGAGAGGAUGAUCAGCCACAUUGGGACUGAGACACGGCCCAAACUCCUACGGGAGGCAGCAGUGGGGAAUAUUGGACAAUGGGCGCAAGCCUGAUCCAGCCAUGCCGCGUGAGUGAUGAAGGCCCUAGGGUUGUAAAGCUCUUUGUGCGGGAAGAUAAUGACGGUACCGCAAGAAUAACGCCCCGGCUAACUUCGUGCCA
rnacentral:rRNA from 1 species